GUAAGGAAUAUUGGUCAAUGGGCGGAAGCCUGAACCAGCCAUGCCGCGUGCAGGACGAAGGCCCUACGAGUCGUAAACUGCUUUUGUACGGGAACAACCGCAGUUACGUGUAACUGUCUGAGUGUACCGUAAGAAUAAGGAUCGGCUAACUCCGUGCCAGCAGCCGCGGUAAUACGGAGGAUCCGAGCGUUAUCCGGAUUUAUUGGGUUUAAAGGGUGCGUAGGCGGCAGUUUAAGUCAGGAGUGAAAGACGGUGGCUCAACCAUCGCAGUGCUCUUGAUACUGAACUGCUUGAAUGACAUUGAAGACGGCGGAAUGAGACAAGUAGCGGUGAAAUGCAUAGAUAUGUCUCAGAACCCCGAUAGCGAAGGCAGCUGUCUAAACGUUUAUUGACGCUGAUGCACGAAAGCGUGGGGAUCGAACAGGAUUAGAAACCCCAGUAGUCC
rnacentral:rRNA from 1 species